AACAUUAGACAAUCGCUGGAAGCAGAGGAAAGUCCAUGCUCGCACAUCCUGUGACGGAUGUAGUGUUUAUGCUGAACGAUAAAGACAAGUUCAGGCAGUAUUUUACUGACGGCUGGCAUAAUUCCUAAGGGAAACUAUGGAAGGAGCCUGUAAAAGUGUCAAAGAGACGAGUCUUAUAGAAAUAUAAGAGUGGAACGUGAUAAACCCCAUAAGCGAGAAACCCAGAAAUAGGUAGGGGAACCCAUAAUAACGAAACGAAGUGAUUUGUGGGGCGUGAAAACGCAGAUAAAUGAUUGUCCAGUACAGAACAUGGCUUAUUUAU
rnacentral:RNase_P_RNA from 1 species